rnacentral:misc_RNA from 1 species
GAUGAAGAACGCAGCGAAAUGCGAUACGUAAUGUGAAUUGCAGAAUUCAGUGAAUCAUCGAAUCUUUGAACGCAUAUUGCGCUCUCUGGUAUUCCGGAGAGCAUGCUUGUUUGAGUAUCAGUAAACACCUCAACUCCCUUUUCUUUUUUGAAAUUGGAGCUGGACUUGAGUGAUCCCAACGCUUUCUUCCAAGAAAGUGGCGGGUUGCUUGAAAUGCAGGAGCAGCUGAACUUUUCUCUGAGCUAUAAGCAUAUCUAUUUAGUCUGCCUAAAAAACAGAUUAUUACCUUUGCUGCAGCUAACAUAAAGGAGACUAGUUCUUGUGCUGACUGAUGCAGGAUUCACAGAGACAGCUUCGGCUGACUUUGUAAACUCGAUCUCAAAUCAAGUAAGACUACCCGCUGAACUUAAGCAUAUCAAUAAGCGGAGGA